GAUGAACGCUGGCGGCGUGCCUAAUACAUGCAAGUCGAACGCUGGAGAUCUAGCUUGCUAGAUCGAAGGAGUGGCGAACGGGUGAGUAAUACAUAAGCAACCUACCCACGAAGACUGGGAUAAUCUCUGGAAACGGGGACUAAUACCGGAUAGGUAAUCGGAAGGCAUCUUCUGGUUAUUAAAGGUUAAAAACACUGGUGGAUGGGCUUAUGGCGCAUUAGUUAGUUGGUGAGGUAACGGCCCACCAAGACGAUGAUGCGUAGCCGGCCUGAGAGGGUGAACGGCCACAGUGGGACUGAGACACGGCCCAGACUCCUACGGGAGGCAGCAGUAGGGAAUUUUCGGCAAUGGGGGCAACCCUGACCGAGCAACGCCGCGUGAGUGAAGACGGCCUUCGGGUUGUAAAGCUCUGUUGUAAGGGAAGAACGGUAGAUAGAGAAUAUCUAAGUGACGGUACCUGACCAGAAAGCCACGGCUAACUACGUG
rnacentral:rRNA from 1 species